GGACUACAGGGGUAUCUAAUCCUGUUUGCUCCCCACGCUUUCGCGCCUCAGCGUCAGUAUCAGUCCAGGCAGCCGCCUUCGCCACUGGUGUUCCUUCCGAUCUCUACGCAUUUCACCGCUACACCGGAAAUUCCACUGCCCUCUACUGUACUCCAGCCGCGCAGUCUUAAAUGCAGUUCCUAGGUUAAGCCCAGGGAUUUCACAUCUAACUUACGCGGCCGCCUACGCGCCCUUUACGCCCAGUAACUCCGAUUAACGCUUGCACCCUCUGUAUUACCGCGGCUGCUGGCAC
rnacentral:rRNA from 1 species